rnacentral:rRNA from 1 species
CCCCUAGAUGUUCUGGGCCGCACGCGCGCUACACUGAACAGUUCAACAAGUCUUAACCUUGGCCGAUAGGUCUGGGUAAUCUUUGAACGCUGUUCGUGAUUGGGAUAGACCUUUGCAAUUAUGGGUCUUCAACGAGGAAUUCCUAGUAAACGCAAGUCAUCAGCUUGCAUUGAUUACGUCCCUGCCCUUUGUACACACCGCCCGUCGCACCUACCGAUUGAAUGGUCCGUGAAAUCUCGGGACGGCGGCUUGGUCGCUUGCGUCCGACUGCUGAAACUUGAUUAAACCAUAUCAUUUAGAGGAAGGUGAAGUCGUAACA